GCAUAUCAAUAAGCGGAGGAAAAGAAACCAACCGGGAUUGCCUCAGUAACGGCGAGUGAAGCGGCAAGAGCUCAAAUUUGAAAUCUGGCCCCUUUGGGGUCCGAGUUGUAAUUUGCAGAGGAUGCUUCGGGUGCGGUCCCCGUCUAAGUGCCCUGGAACGGGCCGUCAUAGAGGGUGAGAAUCCCGUCUGGGAUGGGCGGCCGCGCCCGUGUGAAGCUCCUUCGACGAGUCGAGUUGUUUGGGAAUGCAGCUCUAAGCGGGUGGUAAAUUUCAUCUAAAGCUAAAUACUGGCCGGAGACCGAUAGCGCACAAGUAGAGUGAUCGAAAGAUGAAAAGCACUUUGAAAAGAGAGUUAAACAGCACGUGAAAUUGUUGAAAGGGAAGCGUUGUCCACCAGACUCGCCCGGGGGGGUUCAGCCGGCACGUGUGCCGGUGUACUCCUCUCCGGGCGGGCCAGCAUCGGUUUGGGCGGCUGGUGAAAGGCCCCGGGAAUGUGCCACCCUUCGGGGUGCCUUAUAGCCCGGGGUGCCAUACAGCCAGCCUGGACCGAGGCCCGCGCUUCGGCGAGGAUGCUGGCGUAAUGGUGGUCAACGGCCCGUCUUGAAACACGGACCAAGGAGUCUAACAUCUAUGCGAGUGUUCGGGUGUCAAACCCGUCCGCGCAGUGAAAGCGAACGGAGGUGGGAGCCCCUCGGGGCGCACCAUCGACCGAUCCUGAUGUCUUCGGAUGGAUUUGAGUAAGAGCAUAGCUGUUGGGACCCGAAAGAUGGUGAACUAUGCCUGAAUAGGGCGAAGCCAGAGGAAACUCUGGUGGAGGCUCGCAGCGGUUCUGACGUGCAAAUCGAUCGUCAAAUUUGGGUAUAGGGGCGAAAGACUAAUCGAACCAUCUGGUAGCUGUUUCCUGCCGAA
rnacentral:rRNA from 1 species